GUUUAAUCAGUUGAUUUUCAAGUUCCGGUGUGUGUUGUGAGUUUUAAUUUCAAUGCUUUAUUGUGUAUUUUUAUAGGCCACCUUCUAUUAACGGGAUCGCGUGGUACUAAUCCUCAAGUCUUGGCAUACCUGAAUUCUGCAACUUAAGGUAUAUAUUUAAUGGAUGGAUAAACUUAUUGCUGACUAUUGUAAGGUUUGUACAGAGUAAACAUACCUACUU